UUAGGAAUAUUCCACAAUGGGGGCAACCCUGAUGGAGCAACGCCGCGUGGAGGAUGAAGGCCUUCGGGUCGUAAACUUCUUUUCUAUGCGAAGAAUAUGACGGUAACAUAGGAAUAAGGGUCUGCUAACUACGUGCCAGCAGCCGCGGUCAUACGUAGGACCCAAGCGUUAUCCGGAUUGACUGGGCGUAAAGAGUUGCGUAGGUGGUCUGUUAAGCGAAUAGUGAAAUCUUGUGGCUCAACCAUGAGGCUAUUAUUCGAACUGGCAGACUCGAGAAUGGAAGAGGUAUCUGGAAUUUCUCAUGUAGGGGUAAUAUCCGCAGAUAUGAGAAGGAACACCAAUGGCGUAGGCAGGAUACUGGUCCAUUUCUGACACUGAGGCACGAAAGCGUGGGGAGCGAACCGGAUUAGAUACCCGGGUAGUCCACGCCGUAAACGAUGAAUACUAGUUGUAUGCAGUAUCGACCCUGUGUGUAACGAAGCUAACGCGUUAAGUACUCCGCCUGGGGUGUACGGUCGCAAGACUAA
rnacentral:rRNA from 1 species